ACUGCUUUUAUUCAGCCUUCCUCUUUCCAGCUCCUGUGAGCAGAGUUGCUCAAGGAAAAGGAGGGAUGUUUACAGCGAGACCAUCUCCAGCAGGGACACUGUAGUUUCCAGUGGAGAAGUUACUUUGGUCAUGUAACCCUGUUUUAAGACUACUGUUUUAAUAAAGUCUAUGAAACCCUGAA